rnacentral:tRNA from 1 species
GCGGAAGUAGUUCUCAGUGGUAGAACACCACCUUGCCAAGGUGUGGGGGUCGCGGGUUCGAAUCCCGUCUUCCGCU